rnacentral:rRNA from 1 species
GAGUUUGAUCUUAGCUCAGAUUGAACGCUGGCGGCAGGCCUAACACAUGCAAGUCGAGCGGUAGAGAGAAGCUUGCUUCUCUUGAGAGCGGCGGACGGGUGAGUAAUGCCUAGGAAUCUGCCUGGUAGUGGGGGAUAACGCUCGGAAACGGACGCUAAUACCGCAUACGUCCUACGGGAGAAGGCAGGGGACCUUCGGGCCUUGCGCUAUCAGAUGAGCCUAGGUCGGAUUAGCUAGUUGGUGAGGUAAUGGCUCACCAAGGCGACGAUCCGUAACUGGUCUGAGAGGAUGAUCAGUCACACUGGAACUGAGACACGGUCCAGACUCCUACGGGAGGCAGCAGUGGGGAAUAUUGGACAAUGGGCGAAAGCCUGAUCCAGCCAUGCCGCGUGUGUGAAGAAGGUCUUCGGAUUGUAAAGCACUUUAAGUUGGGAGGAAGGGCAGUAAAUUAAUACUUUGCUGUUUUGACGUUACCGACAGAAUAAGCACCGGCUAACUCUGU